rnacentral:lncRNA from 1 species
UCACAUAAUGAAAUGGCACCCAACGUAUUCCACUUUGCUGACUCUGUCUUACCACUGUGGGUCACUGCCGUGGCAAAGAAUGAGCUUGUUGAUUCCAAAGAGCCUGGCCAGGACGAGCAAAGCAAUCUGACUGCGGAGGGCGAGGACUCACUGUUAUCCAGAAAGCUAGCAGAAAUGAUGGCGAUCCUCUUGAAGAAAGGAAGCCCCAGAAUCCUCGAUUGCGCGAGUGGAGUCCUUCUGUCCACUUUCCAGUUGACGCUGCGAAGAUCAGACUAUGACAUUGUCCUGGGCAUGACUCGUUUCAUUUGUGACAAGUUGCUUGGGAACAACUCCCUAGCAUUGGAAAAGCUGCAGCUUACCCGUGACUUUCUUCGUGAGAAUUUCCUCGAGAUUGAUAGGUAUGUCCGCGAUGAGCUUGUCCAUGAUGACGAUUCGAGGCAGCAACUGGAGAAAGCAAAAGCGCUGAUAAGAUCAGUUCUCACCGAUGUCUGAUUGAUGUACAUACCAGUUGUAAGCAACAAACCGAUAAGUUUCCACCGGUGUCUGGAGAAAGCAAAAGCGCUGAUAGUAGGGCUGAUUAGUAUCACGUUGUGUCAUUGUUC